CCGGUGCCUAACACAUGCAAGUCGAGGGUGAUUUCGGUCAUCACUGGCGCACGGGUGAGUAACGCGUAGAUCAUCUGCCCCUAUCACUGACAUAACAGUUCUAACGGACUGCUAAUAUCAGAUGAGGUGAGCAAUCAUCAAAGUUUCGACGGAUAGGGGAUGAGUCUGCGUCUGAUUAGGUAGUUGGUGAGGUAACGGCUCACCAAGCCGACGAUCAGUAACUGGUCUGAGAGGACGAACAGUCACACUGGAACUGAGACACGGUCCAGACUCCUACGGGAGGCAGCAGUGAGGAAUAUUGCACAAUGGGAGCAAUCCUGAUGCAGCGACGCCGCGUGCGGGAUGAAGGGGCUUAGCCUCGUAAACCGCUGUCGGAGGGGACGAAUGGUACAUUUGAUGUACUGAGACGGUACCCUCAAAGGAAGGAUCGGCUAACUACGUGCCAGCAGCCGCGGUAAUACGUAGGAUCCGAGCGUUGUCCGGAAUUACUGGG
rnacentral:rRNA from 1 species